GUGUACUUGGACCCCUGCCAUAUACAUAAGCAGCAAUCUCUCCAGAUUUUGUAUAUAGAUGUUCGGGCUUGGGUGCCAACGGCUAUUGGCAAAACUGGCCCGUUAUGAUUAGUUCACUCCGUGCCAUAUUAUUCUAAGUUAUCCAAGCUUGGAACGAGCUAGUGGCACCUGGAAGUUCUGAUCACCAGGGCUCCAAAAGAUGGGUUUUGGGACUAUUUCACAUCAUUCACAAACGUUCAUUGGCAGCCUUGACUUUCAAGAGGCCUAUGCUCAUCCUCGCAUUGCAUGCCACAGUGAUGCUUUCCCAUACUAUUAGUAUGUUCUGAAGUUUUGACAAAAGCUGAUU
rnacentral:sRNA from 2 species